rfam:Sorghum bicolor cultivar BTx623 chromosome 5, whole genome shotgun sequence.
AUCCCAUGACGAGGACAGGUGCGAAUGUACUCAUUGAGAUGUUCCCAUGCUUCAGGAAUCGUCUCAUUGGACUGUUGCUAGAAGCUCAAAAUCUUCCCACGUAGGGC